rnacentral:rRNA from 1 species
UACGUAGGUCCCGAGCGUUGUCCGGAUUUAUUGGGCGUAAAGCGAGCGCAGGUGGUUUAUUAAGUCUGGUGUAAAAGGCAGAGGCUCAACCAUUGUAUGCAUUGGAAACUGGUAGACUUGAGUGCAGGAGAGGAGAGUGGAAUUCCAUGUGUAGCGGUGAAAUGCGUAGAUAUAUGGAGGAACACCGGUGGCGAAAGCGGCUCUCUGGCCUGUAACUGACACUGAGGCUCGAAAGCGUGGGGAGCAAACAGG